UACGUAGGGUGCGAGCGUUGUCCGGAAUUAUUGGGCGUAAAGAGCGUGUAGGCGGCCAGAUAAGUCCGCUGUGAAAACUCGAGGCUCAACCUCGAGCUGUCGGUGGAAACUGUCUGGCUAGAGUCCGGAAGAGGAGAGUGGAAUUCCUGGUGUAGCGGUGAAAUGCGCAGAUAUCAGGAAGAACACCUAUGGCGAAGGCAGCUCUCUGGGACGGUACUGACGCUGAGACGCGAAGGCGUGGGGAGCGAACAGG
rnacentral:rRNA from 1 species